rnacentral:rRNA from 1 species
GAUGAACGCUGGCGGCGUGCCUAAUACAUGCAAGUCGAGCGAACAGACGAGGAGCUUGCUCCUCUGACGUUAGCGGCGGACGUGUGAGUAACACGUGGAUAACCUACCUAUAAGACUGGGAUAACUUCGGGAAACCGGAGCUAAUACCGGAUAACAUGUUGAACCGCAUUGUUCAACAGUGAAAGACGGUUUUGCUGUCACUUAUAGAUGGAUCCGCGUCGCAUGAGCUAGUUGGUAGGGUAACGGCUUACCAAGGCAACGAUGCGUAGCCGACGUGAGAGGGUGAUCGGCCACACUGGAAGUUAGACACGGUCAAGACUACUGAGGGAGGCAGCAGUAGGGAAUCUUACGCAAUGGGCGAAAGCAUUACGGAGCAACGCCGCGUGAGUGAAGAAGGUCUUGGGAUCGUAAAACUCUGUUAUUAGGGAAGAACAAAUGUGUAAGUAACUAUGCACGUCUUGACGGUACCUAAUCAGAAAGCCACGGCUAACUACGUG